rnacentral:rRNA from 1 species
UACGUAGGGGGCUAGCGUUGUCCGGAUUUAUUGGGCGUAAAGAGCGUGUAGGCGGCCAUGUAGGUCCGGUGUGAAAACUCGAGGCUUAACCUCGAGAUGUCAUCGGAAACCAUUUGGCUAGAGUCCGGAAGAGGAGAGUGGAAUUCCCGGUGUAGCGGUGAAAUGCGCAGAUAUCGGGAGGAACACCGGUGGCGAAGGCGGGCUC